UACGUAGGGUCCGAGCGUUGUCCGGAAUUAUUGGGCGUAAAGGGCUCGUAGGCGGUUUGUCACGUCGGGAGUGAAAACUCAGGGCUUAACCCUGAGCGUGCUUCCGAUACGGGGCUGACUAGAGGGAUGCAGGGGAGAACGGAAUUCCUGGUGUAGCGGUGGGAAUGCGCAGAUAUCAGGAGGAACACCGGUGGCGAAGGCGGUUCUCUGGGCAUUUCCUGACGCUGGAGGAGCGAAAGCAUGGGGAGCAACAGG
rnacentral:rRNA from 1 species